UACGGGGGGGGCAAGCGUUGUUCGGAAUUACUGGGCGUAAAGGGUUUGUAGGUGGCCAACUAAGUCAGACGUGAAAUCCCUCAGCUUAACUGGGGAACUGCGUCUGAUACUGGUUGGCUUGAGUGCAGGAGAGGAAUGCGGAAUUCCAGGUGUAGCGGUGAAAUGCGUAGAUAUCUGGAGGAGCACCGGUGGCGAAGGCGGCAUUCUGGACUGCAACUGACACUGAAGAACGAAAGCCAGGGGAGCAAACGGG
rnacentral:rRNA from 1 species